CUGUGGAUAUCUAAUUCAAAUAUCAUACAAUAUGAGGGAGAUGUGAAAACAACACAGCCAGUCGAUCUUUUUAAACGUUUUAUUUUUAAUCCCAUGGCUCUUCAACAUUUAUGUUGGCUUUCAGGGAUUAAUCUUUGCUUUGAGAUCUGCUUAUGGCAUCUUGAGAUCUAUUUCGAUCUUCCUUUGAUGAGUUUCAACCUCUGAAGCAACACAGAAAUCUUCUGCGUAAUUCACGUUUUGGUGAUUUUGUAGAUUAAUGUAAAAAUAAAAAGGCAACAUACCAUGUUAGACCAAUAAAAGUCUUUCAAAUUAGUUAUUCCCGAGAUCUUAAUGGGUGUCUUACGGCAUCGGAUAGUAUUUUUGUAAAAAUUUGUAGUCUUUUCAGCUUAUUGCAUUGUUUACUUCCUGGUUCAGUAAAGGGGUCCUAAAAAGUCACGCCCACGAAAGACAAACAUCUGUCUUUCCUAGUUACCUCUACCAGUUAAUCCAUAACACCGGAGGCUGGACGGAGCAACCAAACAAAGCGUUCAAACUUUCUCCACAACACACACGGAAUGUCAAAUCCCAGAGGAGCAGACCUGAGUAGUUUCUGUUAAACUUGCACCAACAAACAUCCACCAGCUCCAACAGAAUCCAGCCUGGCCGCCAAUUCACCAAACACCCAGCAACUAACCAACACCGCUUCAGCAGCACUAAUAUAAGAACUCUGGAUUACAAGUUUUGGACGCAUUAGGAUUCAUUUACCUGAUAGCAGGUCAACAAGUCUACACACGAAAGACAAUCAACAAAAUUUGCUAGUGUUCCUGUGAAUAUUU